UACAUAGGGAGCAAGCGUUAUCCGGAUUUAUUGGGUUUAAAGGGUGCGUAGGCGGGAUGCCAAGUCAGCGGUAAAAAUGCGGUGCUCAACGCCGUCGAGCCGUUGAAACUGGCGUUCUUGAGUGGGCGAGAAGUAUGCGGAAUGCGUGGUGUAGCGGUGAAAUGCAUAGAUAUCACGCAGAACUCCGAUUGCGAAGGCAGCAUACCGGCGCCCUACUGACGCUGAGGCACGAAAGCGUGGGUAUCGAACAGG
rnacentral:rRNA from 1 species